AUAAUCUUUUUGUCUCUUUGUUGUCAUUUUCAAGGGUCGAAAUUCUGGAUUCUAGUGAUGGAGUUGUUUUGGGAAGGACUUUAUUAACUAGUCUAAUGUUUACAUCUUCUGUGUCGGGUAUGUCGUCUUUUUCUUCAAAUGUCACUCUUCUAAUAUCUUUCUUUGUUCCCAUGAUCAAUUUUUGGUUCGUAACUGCACUCUUCAUAUGUUGAACCGCUUCGUCUAAAGUUUUUGGAUCUUUAUCUAAAGUGACUAAUGCAGCUCUCUUUUCCAAACAGCCCCUUAGAAAUGCAUCGAUAGUGAUGGUGCUUCUGAAGAAUUCUGGACUGUCUGGAUAACGCAGGACAGAUAAGGCAACACAUCGUUUUGAUAUGCUAAUGAAGGGAUAAUGAGUUAUGACGUCAUAAUAUACGCCCCGCCUCUUUAUUACCAUAUAUAGAACAUAGCAGUUUAAGCAUAAAAUACGGCUGAUUUAAUACUUCAUAAGCAAAAUAUAACUACGAAUCACUCAUGUGUGUUUUUAUAAGUUUACAACAAUCAGCAUAUACGAAGAAUUUCCAUAAGGCAUCUGUCGUAUGGGUGUGAAUCUGCGUUCAAAAGCGUUCGUCAGACGAUGUAAACACGUGUAGCUGGUAUUCCCGAUGAUGGCGAUCUUUUGAUGAUUUAUCAGAGUAAUUUGAAAAGUGUCACACUGAUUUGAAAAAAAAAGGCUGGAAGAAAAUCUGGUACCUGCUUUGUCUUGAGAUAUACAUAAAUGAUGUUCUUAUUGGUGAUCAUUUACCCGCACCCUUAUCCUGGUGUCAUAUACAAGAUGAAAUGAUGGAAAGAAAAACCUGAACUUUAGGAACAGGAAGACUGUGUUUUUGAAGAGAGAAGAGGACCAGAACUAAGGAGUCAUACAAUAAACACAUUGACAUCAUAAAAAGAAAUUGCAAUUUCGAGUUUGCAUGCAUUUUUUCAGAAAGUCCCUUUAUCUUCUUGAAUUAAUAAAAC